GACGAACGCUGGCGGCGUGCUUAACACAUGCAAGUCGAGCGGAAAGGCCCUUUGGGGUACUCGAGCGGCGAACGGGUGAGUAACACGUGAGUAAUCUGCCCUGCACUUUGGGAUAACUGCCGGAAACGGUUGCUAAUACCGGAUAUGACUCCUUGCCGCAUGGUGGGGGGUGGAAAGUUUUUUCGGUGCGGGAUGUGCUCGCGGCCUAUCAGCUUGAUGGUGGGGUAAUGGCCUACCAUGGCUUCGACGGGUAGCCGGCCUGAGAGGGUGACCGGCCACACUGGGACUGAGACACGGCCCAGACUCCUACGGGAGGCAGCAGUGGGGAAUAUUGGACAAUGGGCGGAAGCCUGAUCCAGCAACGCCGCGUGAGGGAUGACGGCCUUCGGGUUGUAAACCUCUUUCACCUGUGACGAAGUCUCUGCUUUUUGGUGGGGGUGACGGUAGCGGGAGAAGAAGCACCGGCCAACUACGUGCCAGCAGCCGCAGUAA
rnacentral:rRNA from 1 species